CAAGAGCUGUUCUUGCCCCUCUGUGUCUGACUCCGUGGGGUCCUCACACUCCCUCAAGUCGCACUGCCUGUCUGCACAGACGCCACUAUUUUUCUGGAGAGAUCAAAUUCAGCACAAUAAAGCGACACUUGUUAAAGGACGUAGCAAAAUCUGGUUUUCCAAGCCUAGUACUUUUAUCAUACGAACACCAGAGACUCUAAGGGAUCUUGGAGCCCAGUGGGGGUCCAGUGCUUCUGGUAGCAGAAAACUGCUCUUCAUGUAUAACCUUCCUUAGAAAGCUGAAUGUAGGACAAUCCUCUUAUUGCUGCAGAAACUGCUCUUCUCCUUCCUGGACUGCCUUCUUGGGUCUUUCCCUCCCUUUCUUUUCAACAGUCAGAGCAGACGCAGCCCCAAACAGUUCCCCGACACAGAGCCAGGAGCCCUCACUCCUUGCCUCUAAUUACCCUGUGAUAGAUGUUGGCGUUGCUGCUAAAGGUAUCUGCGUUCAGGCUUUAUGGUCAUUUUCCAACAGCCCAGACCUUUUAAACUCUCUUAUGGGAGCAGGUUAAGAUGAUUAUGCAGAUGGAUGGACCCCGGUGC
rnacentral:lncRNA from 1 species